rnacentral:rRNA from 1 species
GACAUAGGUGGCAAACGUUAUCCGGAAUUAUUGGGCGUAAAGGGUGCGUAGGUGGUUUAAUAAGUUACUGGUGGCAAAUCGGGGCCCAACCCCGUGGAAGUCAGUAAUACUAUCGAACUAGAGGGUCGGAGAGGUUAACGGAACUCCAUGUGUAGCGGUAAAAUGCUCAAAUAUAUGGAUGAACACCAAUCGGCGAAGGCAGUUAACUAUUCGAUUCCUGACGUUGAGGCACGGAAAGCGUGGGGAGCAAGACGG